rnacentral:rRNA from 1 species
GUUAUUAAGGGUGCAGGGCGGAUGCCUUGGCUACUA